UUAUAUGUUAUUCAUUUCUUCUAUUUACUGGCAUGCUUUCAAUCUUGAACACGCGUAAGUCCCACAUCGCUUGUUUACAGAGUUUUUUGCGUCUUUAUAUACAGAAGCGUGAACGAGCCAUAUCGUCCCUUCGGGGACAUCCGAUAAAAUUGGAACGAUACAGAGAAGAUUAGCAUGGCCCCUGCGCAAGGAUGACACGCAUAAAUCGAGAAAUGGUCCAAAUUUUUUUUUUCCCAAAAAAUUGUCCUACACGCCGGUCAAUUUCUCGCUUGAGACCUGCUCUUGAUCGGUAUCCACAUGUCGACGGCGGAGUCUAGCAGUUUCCACUUCCAUUUGGUCAAUUUCUCGCUUGAGACCUGCUCUUGAUCGGUAUCCACAUGUCGACGGCGGAGUCUAGCAGUUUCCACUUCCAUUUUGAGUGGCUCUAUUUGAUUUUAUCCAUCAAGCAAUCAAACAAACAGAUAGUGUGCAUCGCAAUUUCAGGCAAUUAAUCAAAUAGAUGGUGUGCAUCACAAUUUCAGGUGAUUUCCAACUAUUUUCAUUAAUAGCAUCUAACCAGCCGGGUGAACUUCACCGGGAGCUUCUUUUGUAGCAAUAGCCCGUUGAUCUAGUUGCCACCGAACCUUUUUUCCGGGUCCGAAACAACUUGGGCGAAAUACGGAAGUCAGGGGUAAGGGGAAGAGGUAGCUCCCCAGCUCACUCAAGAAUGGGACGGCAGUGGUCCGGCUAAGUGACUUUGUAACCUUAAUGUACUUCUUUUCGUACUCCUGGUCAUGGAUAGAUCACCCAGGUUUGGGGCUUUUGGUUUUUUUGCACCCUGUUUUGCAGCUAUUUAAAUAUAAGAAAUUAAAAUAGGGAGGCUAAACACCACCUUUGAUCAAUGUUCCGUAGCUGUAGAUUGGAUUGCCACAUGCGUUUUUUCCAAUGGCUUUCAUAUACGGGUUUAUUGAAAAAAGUAUUAUAGGGAAACUGAUAUGCCUGCCAAACAAUUCUUUGCUUCGUACAUACUUCCCUGGAUGGUUUAAACAUUAUUUAUCACUGUUCUUCUGUAAUAUGUUUUACAAAUGUGCAUGCUGCAUUUUCAUAUGCUAGCUCCCCAUGGCCCAUAGAAACAAUAAAGUUUGCAUUGUUCACUAUUUGUAGAUGUUUUGCAAAAGCUCUUUGCUUUAUAACUUUUUUGUCUUACCAUUUUCUUAGUAGUAUGAACUUGAUAAUUUACAAUCCUUGAUAAAGUAAUUUCUGGGAUUUUUUCUUUUUUGAAGAUAUUCUAUUAUAUAGUGUGACAUGUUCAUCUAAUUCUUUGUUUCUCGAAAUAUUGUGGAAAUACAUUGUUGGUCCCUCUUCUGGCAUUAUAUGUCUAUGUGGACUAUUUAUUUAUGUUAUCCGAAUGAUGUGUGUGCCUGUUGUCAACGCAAGACAAGAAGAUAUUAUUGGGAUUGGGAUGGUGACCUGUGUACUUGUUUUGUUUUGUUGUGUUAAUGCUUUGCUGCCUUUUAGAUUUUCUUAACUAGUUCACAAUUAACUUUGCAGCAUUAAUUGGUGCAAGUAUACCGCGUUUAGGCGAGGAUGACAUAUAUAUGAUCUUCAAAUUUAUCUCUGCUGCUGUUUGUGUGUGGAACUAUGUUGAACGGAAAGUUUUUGAGUCCUACGGCGAGUGUUUUGAUUCAAUUUUUCAAAAUGCUUUGAACUCUCUAUAUAUAACCUAUUCUUAUAGAAAAUAUGUCUCAGUGUUUCUCAUUUCAUUAUUUCUAUUUUCGUGCUACAUAGGUGUGGACUGUCUACUUUUUCCAUAAGAGAUAUCCGAAAGAGGGAAUAAUUUCGAGGAAGAGAAAGUCCCUUUAGCAUUUUAGAUUUCUUUCAUAUAUUUGUGACUGUCUAAUCAUCCAUUUCGUGACGAGUGAAACCAUUUUCAUAUAGGUGGAUACAUGCAAAAUCACACUUACAGUUAUUUGCCUCAUCAUUAUCGUUGUCCUUUUAGCCGUUGUCAAUUGUAGCUUGUACGCUGAUGUCUUUCAUUAUAGUGAUAAAAUAAUCGGCUGUAUCUAUGUCUGUGGCAUUCAUUUCGGAUAGAAAAUAUGUUUCUGAUUUGUGCCAACAGGUUUGUGCCACCUUGGAACCAUUGGAUUGAUUCAUAAAAUAAUUGGCUGAACCAUUGGAUUGAUUCAUACGAUAAUUGACUGAUUUUUCAUGGUUGGUUAUGUUUACUAUUCAACUGAUAGAGAUAGAAGAGAAGUUUUUUGCAGAGGUUCAUGAGGUUUUAGCUACAUACUCAUCAGCAGAAAUCACAGGUCGAAUGUUGAUAGUUGAUACGAGAAUUCACAGUGCAUAGCAAGAAUUCACAGUUCAUUUGAUCUUUGUACGUAAAACGGGGUUUGCUAUGGUGCGCAACGAGGCAUGCCUUUGCUUGAUGCAUUGCAGAAUUUUGAGGCUUGUUCAAUCAAGAACUAUAAUUUCAGGCAAAUUGUAUCUGUACUAAAUGUUUAUACCUUUUGGUGCUUGUUCAAUGAAGAGCUACAUUUUCAGGAAACAAUUAGAAAUUAAAAUUUUACUAGAAUGGAUUCAGAAUUUGGUUA